AGAAAUCGAUGGUCGGUUUUAAUUUUUUGCGUUUUUAAUUAGGUGGAGUCAUUAGUGUGGUAAUAUUAUAGGGUUUGGUAUUAUUUAUAGGGUACAGUAGGAUAUAGGGACUAGUAGUUUACAGGGUACAUAGAUUUUUAGGUCCCUAGGACUAGAGCUUUGGUUUCCCGCCGACUUUUUGUAAAUAGGGUUUUCUUCUGGAUUUCGAUUCGUUCUUCGUCUUUCUUCCGCUGGUGUUCGUCUUUCUUAUCUUCUCGAUUAAGUGUUUUCGAUUGAGGAAGUAGGGUUCUUUCUGUGUUUUCUCUGUAGUAAUCUUCGUCAUACCUUCUGUUAUCGUCUGCUUCUGCUCUUCUUCUUUCUUUUUUUCUCGAUUAACUUAGUAAGGUUUCCUUCACAUUAUUGGGUUUUCGUUCAUUCGAAACUCCAAUAAUCCAUUUUGGGGUUUCCUUCACAUUAUUGGGGUUUCGUAAGGUUGUGAUGUUGAUUUUUUUGUAUUUUCGUUCUUGACUUAGUUAUCGUUAAGAUUUGUUUAUCUGUGUUUCCGAUUUAGUUGUGUUUCCGAUUUGUUUCUCUGGCGUUCUUCGUUUUACCCCUCCCGUUUCCAUAUCCUCUAUCUUGUUUUAUCGUUUUUCGACUUCGUUGAAGUUUGUUUCCGAUGUAGUUGUGUCCAUAUCAUCCAUCUUCGGUUUCUCGUUGAAACACAGCAAUUUUCUCAGGGAAUAACGGUCUUGAGAAAAUUUUGAUGCUGCCACUGGAAAAUUUAACGGUUCUCAUCCUCCCGUUUUGUAUUAAUUUUUCCAAAAUAUGUUCUAUUUACCUUCUUAAAUUGAUUUUUUUUUCAAAAAGGACUGUCUUUAGUAAUGAAACUGAACUGCGUUUUUCUCAAUGUACUUCUUCCUCUUUGUUAUUGAAGCUAUUUAUUUUGUUAGCAGGACUCCUUCUGUUUCAGGUAUUUCAACAAAUUUUUUGUUCAUUCAACAACUGAUUUUUAUAAGUCGUACGAUUAAUUGAUGUCAUCUGAUUAAUUUAUAAGUCGUACGAUUAAAUGAUAUCUGAUCAUUUUCCAUAUUGAUGCUAACUCUAUUUGUCUUUUACUUCUACUGGUAAUCUGGUGUCAUAAUUUGUUGUUUCUUUUUUCAUUCAUUUUAAGUGUGCAGUUAUUCAAUUAUUUUUCCAACAACGGUCUGAAUGGCAUAUUUUGCACAUUCACAAUUUUCUUGCCUACAUGAUGAUGUUAGUAAGAAUUAUUAUUCUUAUGUAGGUAUGAAGGUGAACGCAUAACAAAGGCCCUUUCAAAGUUUGUCAACAGCGAGGGAUGUACUGUUUAAAUCAAUGUUCGGCUAUUGUCUUUAUCUAAUUAUUACAUUCUCAGAUAGAUGUAUGCUAAAUAGUUAAAAUAAAAAUCAACCUAUUCUCGUACUGUGUGUUUUUUGUAGUAACCACUUUAAUCAUCGAUACAGGUUGGUACUGAGAUUUUUCGAACUACACAGGGCUAUCGACUAAAACUGCGUUUAUCUAUAUUUGCUAUUAAUAUAAGUGAUUUUUACAGGUGCUUUCUACAGGUUGGUACUGAGAUUGUACAAAGAGCACUUGGUACUUUCAAUUUAAAUAUAGUUAUUUCUUUCUGUUGGUGUGUGGGUUCGUCGUCCAACCUAGUGCAAGAGUGACUCUCAGAAUUAUCAACCCCCUCCCCUGUUGGACCAGGGGAGGUAUUUAUAGUCUUGCGUCCCAGUGCUUGGGCUUCAUGGGCUCGCGCGCCGGGCCCGUCUGUUCACUCG
rnacentral:lncRNA from 1 species